CUGGAGAAUUUUGUUCCCUUAGUUGCCCCAUACAACAUUCAGGCUACAUUUGUACUGCUCGAACUACUCAUUUAUAAGAUAAAACAGUCAACACUCUUUUCCACUGAAUUAACUGACUUUUACCUACUGUAGGUUUUUUGCAACUAACUGUAUCCAGGCAAAAUGAUGAAGAUGAUGAGACUUAAGACUGAUCCUCUCCCCGGUUCUUGGAGUUUUUCUGUGUUUUUCUGCAUCUUUCCUCCACAGAUUCCAAUAACUGAGCACCAUUAAAAUUAGAUGCAUUUAAUUUGGCAUGUAAUUUUGAGUUCAUCCAAGCCCCUCAAGAUGUAUCCUAUUCUGAUGAAGAAGGGAAGCAGAACUGAAGAUUCAUUUAUACCCAGGAGUUAACAUGUUUAUCUUCUUCCUUUCUGGGAAUAAUACAUCAGUUAAAAUGGCAUUUCUGCAGAGACAUGUGAUCCUGCAGAAGCCUCCAGGGACUGUGCUCAGCUUGGCAUCCUUCUCAUUUCUUGACCUGAAAACAAAACAAAACAAAAGAGGAAGUCACGUUUCAUUUUCAAA
rnacentral:lncRNA from 1 species